GAGAGAGAGAAGGAUUUUUGUGCGUUUCGUCUCAGAGUCGCUGCCUAGACUCAUCAGUGGGGUUGCUGGCAGCGACUCCUUACCCCAGAAACGCUUGUUGUUGUAACUAUUCGCUAGGGGCUGGAUGGUCACCCAUCCUAGCGGUUCCGCACUCUGUUUGCUUAACAUCGAAUAUCGGUUGACUUCGACGUUAGGCGCACAGCC